UUUUCUUAGUAGCGGCGAGCGAAAAGAAAAUAGUUCAGCACUAAGUCACUUUGUCUUUAUGGCAAAUGUGAGAUGCAGUGUAUGGAACGUCUUCAAUCUAGUAUGAGAAAUUAAUGAUUUAAGUCCUUCUUAAAUGAGGCCAAUUACCCAUAGAGGGUGCCAGGCCCGUAUAACGUUAAUGAUUACUAGAAGGCGAUUCCGAAGAGUCGUGUUGCUUGAUAGUGCAGCACUAAGUUGGUGGUAAACUCCAUCUAAAACUAAAAUAUAACCAUGAGACCGAUAGUAAACAAGUACCGUGAGGGAAAGUUGAAAAGAACUCUGAAUAGAGAGUUAAAUAGUACGUGAAACUGCUUAGAGGUUAAGCCCGAUGAACCUGAAUAUCCAUUAUGGAAAAUUCAUCAUUAGAAUUGUUUAAUAUCUUUAAAAAAAUAUUAUAAUGAUAGUGUGCAUUUUUUCCAUAUAAGGACAUUGUAAUCUAUUAACAUAUAAUUAUUAUUUAUCAAAAAUUCAUAAACUUUUAGUUUAUUCAAAUUAUUUUGCUUGCAUUUUAACAUAGAAUAAAUGUUUAUGAUUUGAUAAAGUGUUGAUAGAUUUAUCAUAUAUACAGUGCUUUAAUUUUACGGAAUUAUAUAAUGGCAUAAUUAUCAAUGAUUUUUAUGUUUAUUAUAUGCACUUGUAUGAUUAACAAUGCGAAAGAUUCAGGAUACCCUCGGGACCCGUCUUGAAACACGGACCAAGGAGUCUAACAUAUAUGCAAGUCAUUGGGAUUAUUUUUUAUAAACCUAUUGGCAUAAUUAACUUAACUUGUUUUUUAUUGGGAUUAGUUUUUAAAACUAUUUUAUAGUUUAUUAACACAAUCCCGGGGCGUUCUAUAUAGUUAUGUAUAUUAAUAUAUUUUAUAUAA
rnacentral:rRNA from 1 species